UUUCCCCCUGCAGAACGGCCGCCGAAUGGAACCGAAUGAAAGGGAGGACCGCGUUUCCCCAAAAGCACCGCGGCGCGGCGUCUGAGCUACGGGUCGCGAGAAGGAGCAAAACGCGCUCACCAGGUGCUGUCCGUGCCCCUUUGGGAUAGGGACUGAUGCGGGAGGGAGGAGGAAGAGGAUGGAGGAGAAGGCCCUGCGCAGCGGGAGCAGCUCCAGCAGCACCAAGCCCUACCUGGAGAAGCUCACCCUGGGGGUGACCCGCAUCCUAGGGUACAUCUGCCCCAUUGAAAAUCCUGUUUAUCGUUUCCGAAUCUGUUUCUGCAGUAAAGGACGUAAAGUGGAAUAUCGUUCAUCUAUGGCCGACUGCGAUGUGAUGCGAAGAGUCACUAGCAGACCUGGUUACGUUAAAAGACCUGGGUCUAGAGUCAGGCUAGUUACUUAUCCAGACCUCAUGGCGAGUUCUUUUUGCUGAGUUGCUCUUCAGAUGCCCUUAUGUCCAAAGGGGCUCCAAGAGAGCUAACCAACCAGCGGGCCAUUUCCCCUCUUGCAGGAUGGCUUUCUUCUUAAAGAAGAAGAAAAGUUCAUCAAAAGUUUAUCCAGUUAAUUUACAAGAGAGUGUCGGCCAGGACCCUGCUGCCCAAAGAACAUACCAACUCUUGCCAAUGCUGGUGAAGCCUCCUCAAGCACGUGCAGAGGCCUGGAGGAAGAACCAAGUCCAGCCAGCUGUUUUCCCUGAGUUACUACUGCACCAGGCCAGUACAGUUCAGCGGGUCAGCAGCAGACCAGACGAAAAGCAUUCUGGGCCAGUGUUCCCAGGUGCGUCUUAUGGAGCGAAAGAUACAGUUUUAGUUUGGCAUUUGCGUUCCCUUUUAAUAAGAAUAAUAAGUGCUGGGGUGGCCAGAGAUUCACACUGUGGCCCGAAAUAACAAGGUGGAGCCAGUAGUCUUCCCAGAGCUGGUACAGCGUCAGAUCAACAGCCGGUCAACAGAAAGCCAGACUCCAGGCAGCAGCAGCACUUGUCCCUGAGGAAAAAGAAGAGCCCUGAGGAUUCUGGGCCAGUGUUCCCAGAAGGAAUGAGCAAGUGAAAAAAACAGGAUGCCAGACUAGGUGCAGCAUGAGGGAUUUACAGGUAAAUCAGAAGGACAAAUAGUUGAUAAUGGUAGCAUUUGUGGAUACUUGAUUUCUAUGGUGUAGACAGUGUAUACAAAAGGAUUUAGGCAGAUUCCUGUUUUUCCCAUGUUUAUUGAUGCCUAUGUAUUGUUUGUUUUUCUGAUUUUUCAGGAAGACUUUGAGUGAUGCCUGGAGCAGAUCCAUAAGAGAGGAAACGAAGACAGGAUUUUGGGUGUUUUCCGGUACUUUGCAUAUAUAAGUGUGAUUGUAUAGCCUUGUUUUGAAUAAAGUCAUUCAACUUGUGAA